rnacentral:rRNA from 1 species
AAAGGAAUUGACGGGGGCCCGCACAAGCGGUGGAGCAUGUGGUUUAAUUCGACGCAACGCGAAGAACCUUACCAGGGCUUGACAUCCUCUGACCGCAUAUGAAAGUAUGUUUUCUGGCUUCGGUCAGACAGAGAGACAGGUGGUGCAUGGUUGUCGUCAGCUCGUGUCGUGAGAUGUUGGGUUAAGUCCCGCAACGAGCGCAACCCCUACGUUUAGUUGCUAACGUGUAACGAUGAGCACUCUAGGCGGACUGCCGUUGACAAAACGGAGGAAGGUGGGGAUGACGUCAAAUCAUCAUGCCCCUUAUGUUCUGGGCUACACACGUGCUACAAUGGCCGGUACAAAGGGACGCAAAGCCGCGAGGUGGAGCAAAUCCGAUAAAAGCCGGUCUCAGUUCGGAUUGCAGGCUGCAAUUCGCCUGCAUGAAGUCGGAAUCGCUAGUAAUCGCAGGUCAGCAUACUGCGGUGAAUACGUUCCCGGGCCUUGUACACACCGCCCGU